GUGCUCCAGCAUGGAUGGUAGAGCCUCUGCUUUGCAUGCAAAGGUCCCAGGUUCAAUCCCUGGCAUCUCCA
rnacentral:tRNA from 1 species